rnacentral:rRNA from 1 species
GAUGAACGCUGGCGGCGUGCCUAACACAUGCAAGUCGAACGAGAAGCUAACUUCUGAUUCCUUCGGGAUGAUGAGGUUAGCAGAAAGUGGCGAACGGGUGAGUAACGCGUGGGUAAUCUACCCUGUUUUAGUGGGGGAUAACCCUCCGAAAGGAGGGCUAAUACCGCAUAAUAUCUUUAUCCCAAAAGAGGUAAAGAUUAAAGAUGGCCUCUAUACUAUGCUAUCGCUUCAGGAUGAGCCUGCGUCCUAUUAGUUAGUUGGUGGGGUAAUGGCCUACCAAGACCACAAUGGGUAGCCGGUCUGAGAGGAUGUACGGCCACACUUGGACUGAGAUACGGCCCAGACUCCUACGGGAGGCAGCAGUAGGGAAUAUUGCGCAAUGGGCGAAAGCCUGACGCAGCGACACCGUGUGAAGGAUGAAGGUCUUCGGAUCGUAAACUUCUGUCAAUCGGGGACGAAGGUAGUAAGGUUAAUAGCCUUUAUUAUUGACGGUACCCAAUAAGGAAGUCUCGGCUAACUCCGUGCCAGCAGCCGCGGUAAGACGGAGGAGGCAAGCGUUGUCCGGAAUCAUUGGGCGUAAAGAGCGCGUAGGCGGUUUUUCAAGUCGUAUGUGAAAACUUCAGGCUUAACCUGAUGAUUGCAUAUGAAACUGGAUAACUUGAGUACAGCAGAGGAAAGUGGAAUUCCUGGUGUAGCGGUGAAAUGUGCAGAUAUCAGGAAGAACACCGGUAGCGAAGGCGGCUUUCUGGGCUGUUACUGACGCUGAGGCGCGAAAGCUAGGGGAGCAAACAGGAUUAGAUACCCUGGUAGUCCUAGCCGUAAACGACGGACACUAGGUGUGGGAAGUUAUCGACGCUUUCUGUGCCGAAGCUAACGCAUUAAGUGUCCCGCCUGGGGAGUACGGCCGCAAGGCUAAAACUCAAAGGAAUUGAUGC